UACGUAGGGUCCGAGCGUUGUCCGGAUUUAUUGGGCGUAAAGAGCUCGUAGGCGGUUUCGUAAGUCGGAUGUGAAAACUCAGGGCUCAACCCGGAGACGCCAUCUGAUACUGCGAUGACUGGAGUCUGGUAGGGGAUCACGGAAUACCUGGUGUAGCGGUGAAAUGCGCAGAUAUCAGGAAGAACACCUAUGGCGAAGGCAGCUCUCUGGGACGGUACUGACGCUGAGACGCGAAAGCGUGGGGAGCAAACAGG
rnacentral:rRNA from 1 species